rnacentral:rRNA from 1 species
GGAGGGUGCAAGCGUUGUUCGGAAUUACUGGGCGUAAAGCGCGCGUAGGCGGCUAUAUAAGUCAGAUGUGAAAGCCCGCGGCUCAACCGUGGAAGUGCAUUUGAAACUGUAUAGCUUGAGUACUGGAGGGGGUAGUGGAAUUCCCGGUGUAGAGGUGAAAUUCGUAGAUAUCGGGAGGAAUACCGGUGGCGAAGGCGACUACCUGGCCAGAUACUGACGCUGAGGUGCGAAAGCGUGGGGAGCAAACAGGGAUUAGAUACCCUGGUAGUCCACGCCGUAAACGAUGUCAACUAGGUGUUGGAGUGGUUAAUCGCUUCAUUGCCGGAGCUAACGCAUUAAGUUGACCGCCUGGGGAGUACGGUCGCAAGAUUA